AUUGAACGCUGGCGGCAGGCCUAACACAUGCAAGUCGAGCGGAGCGGCGGACGGGUGAGUAAUGCCUAGGAAUCUGCCUGGUAGUGGUGGAUAACGUCCGGAACCGGGCGCUAAUACCGCAUACUAUCAGAUGAGCCUAGGCCGGAUUAGCUAGUUGGAGGGGUAAAGGCCUACCAAGGCGACGAUCCGUAGCUGGUCUGAGAGGAGGAUCAGUCACACGGGAACUGAGACACGGUCCAGACUCCUACGGGAGGCAGCAGUGGGGAAUAUUGGACAAUGGGCGAAAGCCUGAUGCAGCCAUGCCGCGUGUAUGAAGAAGGUCUUCGGGUUGUAAAGCACUUUAAGUUGGGAGGCGUUACCAGCAGAAUAAGCACCGGCUAACUUCGUGCCAGCAGCCGCGGUAAUUC
rnacentral:rRNA from 1 species